UCAGUACGGCGAGUGAAGCGGGAAGAGCUCAUUCUGUGAAUCUGUAUGCUCUUUUGGUAUACCGAGUUGUAGAAUAUAGAAGCACAUCAGUGCGAAUUCCGGUCUAAGUCUCUUGGAAAAGAGCAGCUAAGAGGGUGAGACUCCCGUUCUUGGCUGGAAUUCAAACUUUAGCAUGUGGUUUCGACGAGUCGAGUUGCUUGGGAUUGCAGCUCAAAGUUGGUGGUAAAUUCCAUCUAAAGCUAAAUAUCGGUGGGAGACCGAUAGCGUACAAGUACCGUGAGGGAAAGAUGCAAAGAACUUUGAAAAAAGAGUUAAAGAGUACCUGAAAUUGCUGAAAUGGAAGCGAAGGAAACCAGUGCCGUUCUGUAUCAUUCUUCCGUCCUUGCUUGCGAGGGUGGCGCUGUGAUGCAGGAUAGGCCAGCGUGGGUUUGAGCCGAAGGAAGCAGCUCUUCAGGAGGCAGCGCAAUUUCUGUGCGAUUACUGUUGAGCUUUGCUUCGGCUUGGACUGAGGCUAGUCACUUGUGCUCGUGACGCUGGCGAAAUGGUUUUCUUUACCCCGUCUUGAAACACGGACCAAGGAGUCUAACAUAUGUGCGAGUAUAUGAGUGACAAACUCACAUGCGAAAUGAAAGUAACAGUGGUUGGAUCUUCUGGGCACAAUCCGCCGGCCACAAUCCUUCGGGAGAAAGGUCUGAGUGUGAGCAUACAUGUUGGGACCCGAAAG
rnacentral:rRNA from 1 species